ACUCAAAGGAAUAGACGGGGGCUCACACAAGCGGUGGAGCAUGUUGCUUAAUUCGAGGCAACGCGAAGAACCUUACCUGGGUUUGACAUGCAUGGAUCAACUCUAUGAAAGUAGAGCCACAGUCGCAAGACCGGAACAUGCACAGGUGCUGCAUGGCUGUCGUCAGCUCGUGCUGUGAAGUGUCGGGUUAAGUCCCUUAACGAGCGCAACCCCUGUCGUUAGUUGCUCGGCGAAAGCCAGUACUCUAGCGAGACUGCCGUCGUCAAGACGGAGGAAGGUGGGGAUGACGUCAAGUCCUCAUGGCCCUUACAUCCAGGGCUGCAAACGUGCUACAAUGGCGCGCACAAAGCGAUGCAAGGCCGCAAGGCGGAGCAAAUCGCAAAAAACGCGCCCCAGUUCGGAUUGUCGGCUGCAACUCGCCGGCAUGAAGUCGGAAUCGCUAGUAAUCGGAGAUCAGCUACGCUCCGGUGAAUGUGUUCCUGAGCCUUGUACACACCGCCCGU
rnacentral:rRNA from 1 species